rnacentral:rRNA from 1 species
CUUCCGGAGGGCAGCAUGGGGGAAUAUUGGACAAUGGGCGAAAGCCUGAUCCAGCAAUGCCGCGUGAGUGAUGAAGGCCUUAGGGUUGUAAAGCUCUUUUACCAGGGAUGAUAAUGACAGUACCUGGGGAAUAAACUCCGGCUAAAUCCGUGCCAGCAGCCGCGGUAAUACGGAGGGAGCUAGCGUUGUUUGGAAUUUCUUGGGGUAAAACGGGCGUAGGCGGGUUUUUAAAUCAGGGGUGAAAUCCCGGGGCUCAACCCCGGAACUGCCCUUGAAACUGGAUGGCUAGAAUAUUGGAGAGGUGAGUGGAAUUUCGAGUGUAGAGGUGAAAUUUGUAGAUAUUUGGAAGAACACCCGUGGCGAAGGGGACUCACUGGACAGUUAUUGACGCUGAGGUGCGAAAACGUGGGGAGCAAACAGGAUUAGAUACCCCGGUAGUUCACCCCGUAAAAGAUGAUAACUAGCUGUCCGGGCUCAAAGAGCUGGGUGGCGCAGCUAACGCAUUAAGCUAUCCGCCUGGGGAGUACCGA